GCCUUUCCUCUUGAACAUAGAGGAUAUGAUAGCUGGAGCUGCAGCAGCCAUCCUGAUGUCUGUCGUCAACAAGAAUGAAAAGCAAGGCCUCCAUAGUAGUGAUGGUGGAAAAGAAAGUGAGAAGAUUUGCAACCUCAUGGAAUUGGUGAAUACCUGGAGAGACACCAUCUGAUCCAGAACUUAUUAUCAGAGGAGAAAAUAGUCUCCUGUUUGUUCCUGUGUCUGAUCAUCAUGUGUGUGAUUCCUGUGUGAAUUUCCCAGAAAACUGGAGGCGAAGCAUCAGCCUUUUUGUAGCUGACAUUGAGGCUUAUCUGCUGGGUCACCUUGUUGACAUAUGACAGUGACCACAUUGCAAUGGCUGCACCUUUCAUCCUCCUUCAGCUUCUGACUCCUGUGCCAGCAUUUCGAUCAUUCAGACUGAGUUUGGAUUAGAGUCUGCGACAUGGUUCUUACUGGAAUCUCCAGGCUUCUGUCCUGUCCUGUAGCGACUAGACCUGCCGCCCCACAACUGCAUGAACCACUUCUCAUUGUCUCACAUCCGGAUGGCCAACCCUUCCUGCGUGAUAGAAGCCCUGAUGCCAGGCUCACCCCAUCUCCAGGUGCUUUGCCAGGUGAUCUCUGCUGUCCCCUGGUGGCCACUCCACACUGACUCUGGGAGGCUCGGGGAACUCCUUUGUCCAGGUGAUGAAGAACCCACAGCUCAGAACCUGAUUUGCUGAUCCCUUGACUGCUGGCUCCAGAGGAGGAAUUGCUCUUUUCUCCAAUGCCCUGUCAGCCUCAAGACCAGGCAGGAGGAGAUCAGAUUAUCCAUGAAAACAAGAACAGGCUCAUCUGAGGAAGACAAGGUCUCACAUCCGGAUGGCCAACCCUUCCUGCGUGAUAGAAGCCCUGAUGCCAGGCUCACCCCAUCUCCAGGUGCUUUGCCAGGUGAUCUCUGCUGUCCCCUGGUGGCCACUCCACACUGACUCUGGGAGGCUCGGGGAACUCCUUUGUCCAGGUGAUGAAGAACCCACAGCUCAGAACCUGAUUUGCUGAUCCCUUGACUGCUGGCUCCAGAGGAGGAAUUGCUCUUUUCUCCAAUGCCCUGUCAGCCUCAAGACCAGGCAGGAGGAGAUCAGAUUAUCCAUGAAAACAAGAACAGGCUCAUCUGAGGAAGACAAGGUAA